ACUCCUACGGAAGGCAGCAGUGGGGAAUAUUGCACAAUGGGCGAAAGCCUGAUGCAGCAACGCCGCGUGCGGGAUGACGGCCUUCGGGUUGUAAACCGCUUUCAGCUCCGACGAAGCGCAAGUGACGGUAGGAGCAGAAGAAGGACCGGCCAACUACGUGCCAGCAGCCGCGGUAAU
rnacentral:rRNA from 1 species